CUACGGGCUGCAGCAGUGGGGAAUAUUGGACAAUGGGGGCAACCCUGAUCCAGCCAUGCCGCGUGUGUGAAGAAGGCCUUAGGGUUGUAAAGCACUUUCAGUGGUGAGGAAGGCUGAGUAGUUAAUACCUGCUUAGUUUGACGUUAGCCACAGAAGAAGCACCGGCUAACUCUGUGCCAGCAGCCGCGGUAAUACAGAGGGUGCGAGCGUUAAUCGGAAUUACUGGGCGUAAAGCGCGCGUAGGUGGUUUGUUAAGUCGGAUGUGAAAUCCCCGGGCUCAACCUGGGAACUGCACCCGAUACUGGCAGGCUAGAGUACGAUAGAGGGGUGUGGAAUUUCCUGUGUAGCGGUGAAAUGCGUAGAUAUAGGAAGGAACAUCAGUGGCGAAGGCGACACCCUGGAUUGAUACUGACACUGAGGUGCGAAAGCGUGGGGAGCAAACAGGAUUAGAUACCCGCGUAGUC
rnacentral:rRNA from 1 species